rnacentral:ncRNA from 1 species
UCCAUCGUGAGGUGGAGUGUAAAGGAAGGCGACGGCAAAUCUCUGGCCUGACGAACAGAAAUCGCAUCAGGCAUAAACUGAGGAUAAGGCCGCCUAACAGGUCAAAGUCCAAUAACUACCCAGAAUCAGUUUGUGUAAAUGCGGCAGGUAGAUGGAGAGAAAGACUGCGAC